rnacentral:rRNA from 1 species
AUGCUGGCACAACAACAUGGUCCUAUUGGGGAUGGUGAAGAAACAAACCCCACUGUCAGUUCUCCAAACCCUACUGGGGAUGAUGCGCCUCCUGCUCUCGUCCUCUGUUCGUCCGUCCACCUCGCUCCAGCCGCCGCCUCUCGUCCUCGGUUCGUCGUUCCGCCUCUCUCCACCCGUCGUUGCACUGCUUCUGUAGACCACCAUGAAGGUGGUUGUUGGUUGAGUGUGAGAGCUGUAGUUCUUCGUCGAUCGCUGAUCUUGUUCGUCAAUGAAUUCUGCGGCUGUCAUCGUCACCAAGAAAUCGCACUAAUUGGUUCGUCGUCAGAUUUGCCUUGCUGUUUCUUCUGCUCAAACGAUCAUCUUUGUGUUGAGGAAUUGGCGUCAUCAAUUGAUACUCGAGUUUACCUUGUUAUUUGA